GGGCCCGCACAAGCGGUGGAACAUGUGGUUUAAUUCGACGCAACGCGCAAAACCUUACCUGGAUUUGACAUCCCGGACCACCUCAGAGAUGAGGUUUUCUCUUCGGAGACCCGGUGACAGGUGCUGCAUGGUUGUCGUCAGCUCGUGCCGUGAGGUGUCAGGUUAAGUCCUAUAACGAGCGCAACCCCCUAUCGUUAGUUGCCAACAGGUUAAGCUGGGAACUCUAACGAGACUGCCGGUGCAAACCGCGAGGAAGGUGGGAUGACGUCAAAUCAUCACGGCCCUUACGUCCUGGGCCACACACGUGCUACAAUGGCCGGUACAGAGAGCAGCCACUCCGCGAGGAGGAGCG
rnacentral:rRNA from 1 species